rnacentral:misc_RNA from 1 species
GUUUAAAUGAAACAAGCAAGUCCUCACCUAAACCAAGAUGUAGCAAAAAUCUGAACUUGGGAGAAUGAUUGGGGCAUUGAUUCUCAUAAGAAGAGUGUUGGUGUGUCAAACGGGUCUGCUAGUGAAUGGCUUCCUAAGGAACCAAUUGGUGGUGUUGAGUAUAAGUUUCUUGAAGUACUGAUGGCUUGAGCCAAUAGGCAUAAAGGAAGCUGGCUUUUGGGUCUGUCAUUGCCGAAUGAAAGGGAAUCGCUCAGAAUCAGUGAAGAGGAGUUGGGUGAAAUUGAAUUGAUUGAAAAUAAAGGAAGAACUGAAAUACAGUGAUGCAGCAAAGUGGUGUUGGUGAAUCGAAGAAAAU